rnacentral:rRNA from 1 species
UACGAAGGGGGCUAGCGUUGCUCGGAAUCACUGGGCGUAAAGCGCACGUAGGCGGACUCUUAAGUCGGUGGUGAAAUCCUGGAGCUCAACUCCAGAACUGCCUUCGAUACUGGGAGUCUCGAGUCCGGGAGAGGUGAGUGGAACUGCGAGUGUAGAGGUGAAAUUCGUAGAUAUUCGCAAGAACACCAGUGGCGAAGGCGGCUCACUGGCCCGGUACUGGACGCUGAGG